rnacentral:lncRNA from 1 species
UUUUUCUUUCUUUUUCUCCCCAUUUCUGGAACUGUAAUCUUUCUACAGGUUUAAAUGUUAUAAAUGAGUUUACAGAUAUUGUCAAAGGGGGAAAAAAAAAACUAAACUAAAAACAAAAAGCAAAUCACCAUCAUCUCCUGUCUUUUAAAUGGACCCCUGGCAUUGAAGAUUACUGUGUCUCAGGUAGAGGUGGAGUGAAUGGAUAUCAUUAGCAAUUUAUCUUUGUGGACUGAAUUUAGAAUGUGAUUAAGAAUCAGGAUGUGUCUAUCUUCUCCCCAUCAUCUAAGGCUGUGUGUUGCCUUUAGCAAUGGACAUGACAUUAAUCUAUUACUGAUUUGCGACUGUUUAGACUUGAAUCUAACUCAUUUCUUUUGUUCAUUUCCACCCCAUGAAAAGAAAACCACUAAGUGAGCUUCAUUUUAAAAGUUUAGUGAUUGCCUAGAUGACGUACAAUGUAGUACUUUUCUGUUUCCUUUGAUGAUGUGUCCUUUGUAUAAGGAUUUUCUCUGAAUUCUUUUCUACCCUUGUUGCCCCCCCAUAGAUACACAACUCGCGUCAGGUUAGUUUAUAGGAAGGGGGGAAAAUGUUAUUUCAAGACACUAUGGGUUUGCGAAUGAUGGUUGGUUUUAGUUUCUGGGAUUUUUCCUGCAAAUGAGUGAUUAUAUAAAAUUGGUAUAAAGGGCAAUCACCUCCCAGUGUCAAAGUAUCUGCGAAAAUAAAUUCUCGGGGAGAAACUUCCUCGGUGAUCACAAACUCAAAGGGAAUUGAGUGGGCACAAGGGAUUUGUAACUCAGGCAAAGGAAAAAGCCAAUUAAUUACUUCUGGAAUCUUUAUUAAUCACAAUAUCCUCCAGAUGGAGAAUCUCUUACGAAAAAAAAAAAGGGGAUUGGUUCAAAUGUCUCUGGUUGCAGGUACCAGAAAACCUAACUCAAAAUACUAAACCUUAAACAAUAAGAAGAUAACAAUAUUUCAGAUAAUUGGGAGGCUUUGAGUAAGGAAGCUGAAGGUGAAAUAGAAUCAGCAUGUUCUAAGGAUCAGAAAGAACUCAGGUUCUUUUCAUCCCGUCAUCUUUGCCUUGAACUCCUGCUAGUUGCCAGGACUAUAUAUGAAUCACCACUGCAAAGCAGUUCUUAUAGAACAAAUUGAGGGCAGAAAGGAUUCAGGUAGGCCUGACUCCAGCGCUUUCUAGCUAUCUCAGCAUUAAGUGGGUUCCUUCAUCACAUGUGGCAUCAGUUUUUAUCAUCUGCAUAAGGGUGAUGCCUUCACUCAGGGGUUGUUAAAAUCAUUAGAAUGAAUGGGUGUACAAUGUCUGAAUUAUAACAGAUAUUCACAUAAUAGUAGAUGUUAUUAUUUUUGUUAUUUGUUCAAGAAACAAGUUUUGAUUAGAGAAAAUGGAUGGUCAGCUAAUUUGAUCUCAUUGGACAACAUGUUAACAAUUCAUCUCUCAGAGUGGGUCACUUUUGUAGAUGGUUAACCUUAUCCAUAUUUGUGUUCUUAUUUUUUUUUUUUUUCUGUCUGUUUUAGUUAGACCCUCUAACAGCCAGAAUUCCAUCAGGAAAGCAAAGCCUCUGUAAAAGACCGGGAAGGGAGGCAUCAGAGAAUCAGAGAAAUGCUCAUUAACCAUUCUCUGUGAAGGAACCAUUCCCUGUGAACAACCACUCAACCGCUGGUUGUUCACAGGGAAAUCCAAGAUGCCAAGCACAUCUGGCCAACGAUGUGAGACCAGCGCUAAGGGAAGGAUGAGGUCAACAGAAACUGCAGCCUCUGGGGAAGUACUUCCUGUUAAGUAACUACGACCUUUGUGGUUGAGGAUAAGCUGGUUCUGGGUUCCUGCAAGGCACCCCUGUGUUUGCCCAUCAUCAGGUCUGAGAGAAAUGGCUUUUGCUUUACUUCCACCUUCAAAAUCUCACACCAGCUCCCCCUUUACAAUACAGAGAAGGGGAUUCUGGUAGAAACUGACAACAAUUAACGAGAUCCAACUGCAGUGGCCAAAGUGGGACAGACGUUUCGCCUCUUUUCACAUGUUUUACUCAUUUACGCCUUUUGCUUUUCCCUCUGCACAGGUGAAAAAAAUACUGUCUAGAUCAGAGCUGAAGGAGUCUACUUUUUGAGACUAUAACUUGCCUUUAAAAAGAUAAUUUAAAUAUAAACUAUUUUAAAAUAUAAUUAGAUUAUCUUUAUACUACCCUGACAUUUUAGCAGCUGAGUACCACUGAUGGGACUGGGAGAACCCAAUACUAUGCAUCAAGACAUGUGGGCCCUUUUCCAAUUUGUUCCAUCUACUUGCCAGGUAAACAGAUGAAUCUUGGUUUUCUCCACAUCCAUAGUCGAUGACCCUUUCAGGUGAAGGGAUAAUAUAUAAAAAAUUAUCAUUUUUCUACAUCGAGAUAAGAAUAUUCUCUACAACCAAUGAUUGAGACAUUUUAGAACCACUAAAACCUAAUAUGGGUCUAGGGUUUAUUAGAUAAAUUUAUUUUUCAAAUGAAGUAUUCCAAAAUUGUAUUUAUGCCUUUGGGGGUUAAUAAAAAAAUAGUACAUGAAAAUACGCAAAAUUCUGAAAGUAUCUCCCUCCAUUUGGGGAUUUAAAAAGUACAGAAAAUAUGCUAAAUUUUAAAAAUGUAUCUGUAGUGUAAAUAUGAAUAUGAAUAUGAAGCUUUCCUGUUUAAGGUAUACAGCUGUCCACAGGAGACCCGACUAGAGGUUUGCAUUGUUCCUUCUACCUACAGGAGAAAUUGGAAAUGCUUUUCCUGUUGGGGAGCCUGCGUUUCUCUGACAAAUCCCUGCUCUACUGCCAAAUGCCACACAUAGGUGCCGUCUCCACAGGCUUUCUGUGGCUCAUUUCUAUCCACAACUUUGGGUACUGAAUAUAAUCUGACCAACUCUGCUUUCUUCUUCCUAUCAGGAACACAAGGAGAAAUUACUUUCUGAUUCUUUAUGUGCCCAGAUCAAGAAGGGUCAGUUUUUCAGCAUAUCCUGAGCAGUAAAAUGGAGUGCUACAGAUGUAUUCAGACAUAAUAGGGAAAGGGAUCUGGGAUUUGGAAACACACACAACUUCUGUUUCAGGUCAUUUAGAAAGAUCUUUGGAUUAUAAGAGCUGAUGGUGGACAGAUGUGUCCCUGCAGUUCUGAGCUUUUAAAAGAGCCUUGGAACAUCUGAUCAGAGUUGGGGAAAUCUACAUCUAUCACUAUACAAAUGAAUUUGAGGGAGAAUGCUUUUGUCUUUUUUUUUCUCAUGAGCAAGAGACUGUUUGAAUGGGAAAACACUUGUUAAGUGCUUUGGAAUAAAGAUGCUGCACCCGACACACACACUUCAUUAGGCCUCAUAAUGUAAUAUUCUAAUACAAUAUAAUGUAAUACUGCAACUUAUUUUCAAAUAAUAUAACUCCGCAAUUGCCCACUCAGGACUGCACGAGCUUAACUAAGACACUGAAUGAUGCUUUCUCCCUGGUGCCUUUUUGGGGGCAUUUAUAUAGGUUCAACCGAAAGCUUUUUAAAAAAAAAAAAAAAUUCUUUUUUUGGGAGUUCCCGUCGUGGCUCAGUGGUUAACGAAUCUGAUUAGGAACCAUGAGGUUGCGGGUUCUAUCCCUGGCCUUGCUCAGUGGUUAAGGAUCCGGCGUUGCUGUGAGCUGUGGUGUAGGUUGCAGACAUGGCUCAGAUCCCUCAUUGCUGUGACUCUGGUGUAGGCCGGCGGCUACAGCUCCAAUUAGACCCCUAGCCUGGGAACCUCCCAUAUGCCGCAGAAGCGGCCCUAGAAAUGGCAAAAAGACAAAAAAAAAUUUUUUUUUUGGCUUGGUUUCCUCUCCAUAGUUAUUCAAAUAAAAAGACAGAAAAGACUUCUAUACACUUGUCCUUUACUCAAGUCCAGGAAGGAAUAUUGGGAGAUAUCACACACAAAAAAUUAUUUUAGCACUGGACUUAUAAAACUUCAAUCACAGAGAACCUGGAUCAAAAGCAUCAGGUUCUCAUCCCAAAUUUGCCACUUUUUUAGCCACAUAAACCUGGAUUGUACCUUUCAGCUUUAGUUCUCUAAUUGUCAUAUCUCCUCUUCUAUCUACUUAGCAAACCUCUCAUGUGAAUAUCUCAUAAGAUGAAAAUAUGACAGUGCUGUCAAAGCUGAGAAUAGCUAUCCAAAUACAAGAUACUAUACAUUACUAUUUUUAUUGGCUGUCUUUUACUGAGCAGUUAAGGGAACCAGAAAUGUUCCAAGAGAUUAAGAUCUCAACUUUGCAUCUCAAUGAAAAAACAGCACUUCUAGGACUGCAAGGCCCUCUUUCUAACAUCUCUCCUGGGGGGAAAAUGCCUUCUGCUUAAUCAUCAACAUCACCACCUCCUCCACUGAGAGCGAUAUCUGAUGAUGAAUUACUCUAGAAGUGAUCUAACCUUACUCCUUGCUAGGCGGGUGAAACCUAAGCUGGUCAUAGCAUUUGUCUCCAGAUGCAACCAAAACAAAAAUCAAGGUCCAUAGAAAAAUUAACUUUGCCAACAUAUAUUUGGAUUCCUUACAGUUACUCUUUCCUUAUGCAAAGUUGCUCAUCAUGUUUUAUAAUCCUCAUCUUUCUCAUACAUUCUCUUUCCUUCCAUAGAGUAAUGAAUAGCUAUCAUUCCCUCACCUGUACAUUCAUUUCACAAAUGUCUGGGAACAAUUCUGCAGUAAGGACUAAGUUCGGUCUUAGUACACAUGAUAAACACGAUCUCUGUCCCCCCCAAAUGUUAUAGUCUAGAGUCAGGUAGAGGCAAGUUUAGGUGUAUUAUAGGAUACAGGCAGAAGUACCCCAGCAUCUGUGCAUACUUGAACCCAGGAAAGAGAAUAUUUGAGAAAAAGUAAUACCCUACAACUGAUCUCUGUUCACCCUACUGCUAGCCUAAGAGCAUCUAAUGCAGUUUUAGGGGAUUGGCUUAGGCUUCUAAAUUGAGCCCUGAAAGGAAGAGUAGAAUUUGGUGACUCUUUCCCAAUUUCCCUUAUAUUAUUAUAUCAGUGAUCUCAUCUUCUCUUUUUCACUACAUCUACCUCUUUACUUGGCCACAAACAACUGGCAUCUAGGCCACCACUGUAACUGCAACUUUAAGAGACACUUUUCCAGUAUCUGCUAGAUGCAAGCCUGAAUUGAAACGGUUUGGUUGCAUCCUGAUUAUUAGAGGAAAAGAAUGAUAAUGUUGAUGAUAGGACUGCCUAAUAAAGUUCUCCAGUAAAUGAUUAUAAUAUCACUUUGUUGCUUCUUCCUAUUCUCAAAAAAACAUUUCUGAAUAACCCUUCUUAGAAGCAUCCAAGUAUAUUCCACUGUUCCCUACUACUGACUUUCAACACAUUCUUUGGAAUGUUCCAAAAGUGUUAGUUUGAACUCUAUCUAGAAUGUUUUAACUAUCUUAAGACGUAAUAAACAAGAUGCACAUUUUUGGGGAGUUAUUGUCGUGGCUCAGCAGAAAUGAAUUUGAUUAGUAUCCAUAAGGACAUAGGUUCAAUCCCUGGCCUUGCUCAGUGGGUUAAGGAUCCUGUGUUGCCGUGAGCUGUGGUGGAGGUU